rnacentral:tRNA from 1 species
GCCUGAGUGGUGGAACUGGUAGACGCGCUGCGUUCAGGGCGCAGUGGGGGUAACUCCGUGGGGGUUCGACUCCCCCCUCAGGCA